GGAUUCCAAUCGCGUAAAUGGCGGACGGGUGAGUAAUGUCUGGGAAACUGCCUGAUGGAGGGGGAUAACUACUGGAAACGGUAGCUAAUACCGCAUACCAUCAGCUGUGCCCAGAUGGUAUUAGCUAGUUGGUGGGGUAACGUCUCACCAAGGCGACGAUCCCUAGCUGGUCUGAGAGGAUGACCAGACAAACGGGAAAGGAGACACGGUCCAGACUCCUACGGAAGGCAGCAUUUGGGAAUAUGGCACAAGGGGCGAAAGCCUGAUGCAGCCAUGCCGCGUGUAUGAAGAAGGCCUUCGGGUUGUAAAGUACUUUCAGCGGGGAGGCGUUACCCGCAGAAGAAGCACAGUCUAACUCCGUGCCAGAAGCAGAGGUAAUAC
rnacentral:rRNA from 1 species